rnacentral:rRNA from 1 species
CCUACGGGGGGCAGCAGUGAGGAAUAUUGGUCAAUGGGCGCGAGCCUGAACCAGCCAAGUCGCGUGAGGGAUGAAGGUUCUAUGGAUCGUAAACCUCUUUUAUAAGGGAAUAAAGUGUGGGACGUGUCCUAUUUUGUAUGUACCUUAUGAAUAAGGAACGGCUAACCCCGUGCCAGCAGCCGCGGUAAUACAGAGGAUCCGAGCGUUACCCGGAUUUUUUGGGUUUAAAGGGUGCGUAGGCGGCCUUAUACGUCAGCGGUGAAAGUCUGUGGCUCAACCAUAGAAUUGCCGUUGAAACUGGGGGGCUUGAGUAUGGAUGAGGCAGGCGGAAUGCGUGGUGUAGCGGUGAAAUGCUUAGAUAUCACGCAGAACCCCGAUUGCGAAGGCAGCCUGCCGGGCCAUGACUGACGCUGAUGCACGAAAGCGUGGGGAUCGAACAGGAUUAGAUACCCCAGUAGUC